rnacentral:rRNA from 1 species
UACGUAGGGGGCUAGCGUUGUCCGGAAUCAUUGGGCGUAAAGCGCGCGUAGGCGGCCAGAUAAGUCCGGUGUGAAAGCCACAGGCUCAACCUGUGAAUGCCGCUGGAAACUGUCUGGCUAGAGUCCGGGAGGGGCGAGUGGAAUUCCUGGUGUAGCGGUGAAAUGCGUAGAUAUCUGGAGGAACACCGGUGGCGAAGGCGGCAUCCUGGACCGGCAUUGACGCUGAGGGCGCGAAAAGCCAGGGGGAGCAAACGGG